rnacentral:misc_RNA from 1 species
CGAAGGAAUUCAAAAGGUCCUUUAGACAAGGACUUGGUGAAAAUAUCAACAAAAUUAUCUUUGUUGUUCACCUCUUUCACUUCAAUGACUCCUUCAAGCACUUUCUUAUGAAUGAAGUGAUGUUCUAUCUUGAUUUUCUUUGUUCUUACAUGACAAAUUGGAUUGGAAGCUAGCUUGAGAGUGCUUUGGUUAUUACCAUGGAGAGUAAUAGG